CAAUAGCGUAUAUUAAAGUUGUUGCAGUUAAAAAGCUCGUAGUUGGAUUUCUGGUGGGAGCGAUCGGUCUGGCGCUUAGCGCGAGUACUUGCAUCGUCUCCGGCCAUCCUUGGGGAGAGUCUGUCUGGCAUUAGGUUGUCGGGCAGAGGAUCCUCAUCGUUUACUGUGAAAAAAUUAGAGUGUUCAAAGCAGGCUUAUGCUGUUGAAUAUAUUAGCAUGGAAUAAUAAGAUAGGACUUUGGUACUAUUUUGUUGGUUUGCGCACCAAAGUAAUGAUUAAUAGGGACAGUUGGGGGUAUUCGUAUUCCGUUGUCAGAGGUGAAAUUCUUGGAUUUACGGAAGACGAACUACUGCGAAAGCAUUUACCAAGGAUGUUUUCAUUAA
rnacentral:rRNA from 1 species